rnacentral:tRNA from 2 species
UGGGGAUUAGCCAAGCGGUAAGGCAACGGACUUUGACUCCGUCAUUCCCAGGUUCGAAUCCUGGAUCCCCAG